rnacentral:rRNA from 1 species
AAAUUGAAGAGUUUGAUCAUGGCUCAGAUUGAACGCUGGCGGCAGGCCUAACACAUGCAAGUCGAACGGUAACAGGAAGAAGCUUGCUUCUUUGCUGACGAGUGGCGGACGGGUGAGUAAUGUCUGGGAAACUGCCUGAUGGAGGGGAUAACUACUGGAAACGGUAGCUAAUACCGCAUAACGUCGCAAGACCAAAGAGGGGGACCUUC